rnacentral:rRNA from 1 species
UACGGAAGGCAGCAGUGGGGAAUAUUGGACAAUGGGCGAAAGCCUGAUCCAGCAAUGCCGCGUGAGUGAUGAAGGCCUUAGGGUUGUAAAGCUCUUUUACCCGGGAUGAUAAUGACAGUACCGGGAGAAUAAGCUCCGGCUAACUCCGUGCCAGCAGCCGCGGUAAUACGGAGGGAGCUAGCGUUGUUCGGAAUUACUGGGCGUAAAGCGCACGUAGGCGGCUUUGUAAGUUAGAGGUGAAAGCCUGGAGCUCAACUCCAGAACUGCCUUUUGAUACUGCAUGGCUUGAAUCCAGGAGAGGUGAGUGGAAUUCCGAGUGUAGAGGUGAAAUUCGUAGAUAUUCGGAAGAACACCAGUGGCGAAGGCGGCUCACUGGACUGGUAUUGACGCUGAGGUGCGAAAGCGUGGGGAGCAAACAGGGAUUAGAUACC